CCUACGGGGGGCAGCAGUGGGGAAUCUUAGACAAUGGGCGAAAGCCUGAUCUAGCCAUGCCGCGUGAGUGAUGAAGGUCUUAGGAUCGUAAAGCUCUUUCGCUGGGGAAGAUAAUGACUGUACCCAGUAAAGAAACCCCGGCUAACUCCGUGCCAGCAGCCGCGGUAAUACGGAGGGGGUUAGCGUUGUUCGGAAUUACUGGGCGUAAAGCGUACGUAGGCGGAUUAUUAAGUUAGAGGUGAAAUCCCGGGGCUCAACCCCGGAACUGCCUUUAAUACUGGUAGUCUUGAGUUCGAGAGAGGUGAGUGGAAUUCCAAGUGUAGAGGUGAAAUUCGUAGAUAUUUGGAGGAACACCAGUGGCGAAGGCGGCUCACUGGCUCGAUACUGACGCUGAGGUACGAAAGUGUGGGGAGCAAACAGGAUUAGAUACCCUGGUAGUC
rnacentral:rRNA from 1 species